UCUCUCUCUCUCUCUCUCUCUCUCACUCACUCACUCUCUCUCUCUCUUCGCCAUCUUCCUUUAGUCAACGUUUAGUACGGCCCAUUCUUCUCCUAAAUCAUACCAUUUAAUGAGAAGAACCAUUCAUCGGAGACCUCUUUUUUUCUCGUGUUCUUGAUUUCUUCUUUCGCAGGCGAUGACUGAGCAGCAGAGGUCAGCGCGCAUCCACCGUUUAUUUCUUCCCAAGUUCGCCCACGCUGGGAGGCGGUUUGACUUCUCCACAGAUCCCCCGGUCCUAGUUGACUCUAAAGUCUUCGCCAUCGCGGCGGGGCCCCUUGAGUUGACCCCCCGAGCCCAUUGGUUGGGAGGGGUUCGAGCAUGUGCUGCCCCCCCCCCCCCGGGUCUUCAAGAAAACCGGUUUUUUUCGGAUAAACCCCUCCCUUUGGGGACAUUUGUCGAAAUCUAUUCUUCACAGCUUAAUUAAACAUUGUUCGAAUCUAUAUUACAAGAUUCUGCUUGCGCUUCUUCUCAUUUAUUUGGCCUUCAAUAAUAACUCAAGCCCAUAAAUAAUAAUUGCUCCCCCAUCCCGUCUCACUCGAGUGGGCUUCUCUCUCCUCACCUCCUUGGGUAAUAUUUUUGUUCCGAAAUAUUUUAUUUUUAUUGUUAUUUUUAAGGGAGGUAAAUUAGUCUUGUUAGCAACUGUUUGAGGAAAAAAAAAAGAAUACGUUUUUUAAAAUAAUUCAAUGUUUUCCUAAAAAGUAGAAAAUUUAUUAGGAUGGGCA
rnacentral:lncRNA from 1 species